CCCGCACAAGCGGUGGAGCACGUGGUUUAAUUCGAUGCAAACCGGAGAACCUCACCUGGGUUUGACAUGUACGUGGUACGGAUCUGAAAGGUGAAGGACGGUACCUUCGGGUACCGAGCGUACACAGGUGCUGCAUGGCUGUCGUCAGCUCGUGUCGUGAGAUGUGGGUUAAGUCCCGCAACGAGCGCAACCCUACGCUGAGUUACCAGCACGUAAAGGUGGGGACUCUCAGUGGACUGCCGGCGACAAGCCGGAGGAGGGUGGGGACGACGUCAAGUCAUCAUGGCCCUCAUGUCCAGGGCGACACACGUGCUACAAUGGCCGGCACAACGGGAAGCGACGGCGCGAGUCGUAGUGGAUCCCUCAAAGCCGGUCCCAGUUCGGAUUGCAGUCUGCAACUCGACUGCAUGAAGCCGGAAUCGCUAGUAAUCGUGGAUCAGCCAAGCCGCGGUGAAUACGUUCCCGGGCCUU
rnacentral:rRNA from 1 species